rnacentral:lncRNA from 1 species
AAAAAAACACUUUUUAUUUGAGAAAUACCAAACAUCCUUAGAAGGAGAGAGAAAUUUGGGCAUAGUACAAAAGGGAGCUAGCUCUUAAACCAAGCAAAACAAGUUGUGCUUGUACUUCUCUUAGAAAUCCUGCCAUGAGGCACAGGGGUUGCACUUGAUAAUUGAUCACACGAGGAAGAGAAUAAUGCAAUUCUGCCUCACAGACAAGGAUGAUCACCUGAAACUGUAGAUGUAGCAAAUAAUUGUUCCACACAUACGUGGUUUUGGACAUGAAAUCAUCUUUUUCUCUCAUAUCAAGCAUAGACAGGAAAGUAGAAGACAGGGACAAGUCUCUGGGUCCUGCUGUGGAUGACAGCUUCUGAUCCCGGAGACAUGCCAGAUAGACAGUGCUUCAUCCCCUGAAAUAUUUUCCUGGUUUGGGGCAAUAAAUACUCUCUUCUAUUUCAGACUCCCUCAGAGUAGUUCUGCAUGCCACUGUGGAAUAAAUGGUGAAUAUUAAAUUAAACCCUUUGUUGUGUAUGAACUGCACUACACAACAUGAGGAAGAAAGCAGUAGUGAAGAUGUUUAUAGUUAGCACCAGUACAUAAAUCUAAGAGCUUUGUUCAAGGGAAGAAAAGUAGAUCCAAAUCUAAAGAGCGUUGUGGAAGACUGGCCCCUUCCUCAUGAUUUCAGAAUAAAAAAAGGUGAUUGGGAAAUGGGCAAGAAAGGUUGGUGUAUAUCACUAGAUGCAGAGAAUGGCCAUAAAGAAUUGCAGAAGGAUAGGUAGAAAGAGCUCCUCAUU